rnacentral:rRNA from 1 species
CCUACGGGGGUCUGCAGUGGGGGAUAUUGCACAAUGGGGGGAACCCUGAUGCAGCGACGCCGCGUGGGUGAAGGAGUGCUUCGGCAUGUAAAGCCCUAUCGGCAGGGAAGAAGCAAGACGGUACCUGACUAAGAAGCCCCGGCUAACUACGUGCCAGCAGCCGCGGGAAUACGUAGGGGGCGAGCGUUAUCCGGAUUCACUGGGUGGAAAGGGAGCGUAGACGGCCGUGCAAGCCAGGGGUGAAAGCCGGGGGCCCAACCCCGGGAAUGCCCUUGGAACUGCAUGGCUGGAGUGCGGGAGGGGCAGGCGGAAUUCCUGGUGUAGCGGUGAAAUGCGUAGAGAUCAGGAGGAACACCGGCGGCGAAGGCGGCCUGCUGGACUGCGACUGACGUUGAGGCUCGAAAGCGUGGGGAGCGAACAGGAUUAGAUACCCUUGUAGUC